rfam:Alligator sinensis unplaced genomic scaffold scaffold138_1, whole genome shotgun sequence
AUGCUGUGAUGACUUCCAUGUUGGUUUCGCUUAUUGCUGAAUUCCAGUGAAGACAUUCUUCUCUUGGCUGUCUGAGCGU